CCCUAGCUGAUCCCAAGUCCCAAAUCCAUCGAAACCAGCCGCCACCGUCCCCUUCGGAGAGAAAAUAUCACCGUGUGCCGCGGCUGCCGCUCGCCUCCGCCUCCGCCGCUGGAGCGUGGCUGGGGUGCUGCGUCGGCGGCGGCGGCAGGGCCGGGUCGGCGGCGUGGUGCCACGCGACGGCGGCCGGCAGCAUGGCAGCGGCGUUGGAGCUGGAGGCUAUCCGGUGGGGGACCGCCAAGCUGCAGGGCGCGGGCAAGCGGCACCCACCCCUUCCUCUCGCGCGCCCAUCGAGCGCGGAAGCGGCGAGCUGUCGAGGCACCGGCGUCACUGCCGGCCAAGUCGCGCCGCGCCGCACCUCCUCCCAGCCGUCUAGCGACCUCAAGAAAUGCUCCAUGGUCUGAAUUCAUAGGUUCUGAGGUGAUGGUGAGAGCAGAUGAGAAUGGUGAAGACAUGUGCUGGCUUAGAUUGCUGCUUUCAUUGCUGAACCUGUGAUGGGUGCUGGCGGUGUUAUCGCUCCUCCAAAGACAUACUUUGAGAAGAGGUAAGGUUUGUCAAUCCUCCUCAUGUCGCCUUGAUGAUUCAUGAUGAGACGGCAGUGGAUUUUGGUUAGUGUGAUUUCGACACUUGGUUUUGCGUUUGGUAAGUGAACCUGAGAUUGUAUUUGGACUUGGUUGGGUUGGCGCAUAUGUAUUUUGACUUGUGAUUAUGUGUUAAAGUCAAUAACUGGCUGGUUUUGGUCAGAGUGAUAUACUGAUGUACUGAACCUGAUUAUGUGCCGAUGUAUUUUGUUUUGGCUAGUUAACCUAUAAUGUAUUCAUGGUCAGUGAACCUGUGAUUGUAUUUGAACAUGUGGCUGGGUUGGCCCAUAUAUAUUUGCACUGUAUUAGAAGAUCAUUGGAUUUUAUUGGCUAUUAUAAGGGCUGUAAUUUUUGUGCUA